AGAGUUUGAUCCUGGCUCAGGAUGAACGCUAGCGGCAGGCUUAAUACAUGCAAGUCGUGGGGCAGCACAGGUAGCAAUACUGGGUGGCGACCGGCAAACGGGUGCGGAACACGUACGCAACCUUCCUUUAAGCGGGGAAUAGCCCAGGGAAACUUGGAUUAAUACCCCAUAGAAUCGUUGAAUGGCAUCAUUUAAUGAUU
rnacentral:rRNA from 1 species